UGAAUAUGCUAUUAUUUUGUGUUAAUUACUUUUGUUAUUUAUAAAUCUUUAUUUUUUCAAUUUUUAGAUGAUUUAUAUUUAAUUGGGGUGACUGAAUCAAUAGGCUAGGGGUAUGCCCCGUAUCCGCAUAAUAAAAUUAUUCCUAUUAUUUACUGCUUAUUUAUUAAUCACUUAUGUCAAGUUAAUAAUGAACAACUAUUGUUAGACAAAUAAAGUACCAAUAAACUAGACAUGAAUUUUCUUUAUGUUUUUUAAAAGAGAAUUUUUAUUUUCG
rnacentral:misc_RNA from 1 species